UACGUAGGGUGCGAGCGUUAAUCGGAAUUACUGGGCGUAAAGCGUGCGCAGGCGGCUUCGCAAGUCGAGUGUGAAAUCCCCGGGCUUAACCUGGGAAUGGCGCUUGAAACUACGGAGCUGGAGUGUGGCAGAGGGAGGUGGAAUUCCACGUGUAGCGGUGAAAUGCGUAGAUAUGUGGAGGAAUACCGAUGGCGAAGGCAGCCUCCUGGGCCAACACUGACACUCAUGCACGAAAGCGUGGGGAGCAAACAGG
rnacentral:rRNA from 1 species